GUUUCAUUGUCCUUUGCUGGUUCCUCUCGUUGCACAACUCGGGUCUACACUCUACUGCCAUGUAUUUCAAUGUUCCUGCAGAUGAUCUACAUAAACUGAGAUCAGCUUCAUGCAGAUCAAUGGAAGAUCCUCUGCGUCCCGCUGCAGACCAGUCCAAGGUGUCUGUCAGGGUUUGUGUAGCGGAGGACCUCGGAAUGCAGACGAGCAGGCAGCAUGACU